rnacentral:rRNA from 1 species
UACGUAGGGUGCAAGCGUUAAUCGGAAUUACUGGGCGUAAAGCGUGCGCAGGCGGUAAUGUAAGACAGUUGUGAAAUCCCCGGGCUCAACCUGGGAACUGCAUCUGUGACUGCAUUGCUGGAGUACGGUAGAGGGGGAUGGAAUUCCGCGUGUAGCAGUGAAACGCGUAGAUAUGCGGAGGAACACCGAUGGCGAAGGCAAUCCCCUGGACCUGUACUGACGCUCAUGCACGAAAGCGUGGGGAGCAAACAGG